rnacentral:rRNA from 1 species
GAUGAACGCUGGCGGCGUGCCUAACACAUGCAAGUCGGACGGGAGUGGACGCAAGUUUGCUCCAGUGGCGCACGGGUGAGUAACACGUAGCUGACCUGUCCUGGAGCGGGGGAUAACGCCGCGAAAGCGGCGCUAAGCCCGCCUAAGCUCACGGUCUUUAGAGGACUGGGAAGAAAAACCGAAAGGUACUUCAGGAGGGGGCUGCGGCCCAUCAGGUAGUUGGUGGGGUAAGAGCCUACCAAGCCGACGACGGGUAGGGGGUCUGAGAGGGUGGUCCCCCACACUGGGACUGAGAUACGGCCCAGACUCCUACGGGAGGCAGCAGGUGGGGGAUUUUGCACAAUGGACGAAAGUCUGAUGCAGUGACGCCGCGGU